CUUGAUGAAAGCCCAGUGUCUCUAUCUCAGAGGAUGUGCUGCUGGGAAGUUUUCCAGUGAUACUCAGAUAGGGCCUGCUGUUCAGAAGCUGUGAACCUGACGUUAGCCACACAGGAUUAAGUAGAGUGAUGUUUGCUCUUUUUAGGGGACCCACAGGGUUCCUUGUUCGGACAAAGGCGGUUCUGCAGGACCACAUAUCAAAUAUCUACAGCAAGCCACCCAAGGACAAGAUUGGGCCUGGGCAAUCUCUCUUCACAAUGUCAGUGUUUGCAUUCGCUCUCCUGGCUCCAGCUGGAUGGAUCAUGCACCGUAUACCAGUUUACCGCCAAAGACCCCCUCCAGAACCCUGACUGGGCUACACCACCAUGCAUAGUAUGACAUCAGUGAAACAUCAGCGAAAGAUAAAAACAUUGCCUAAAUGUAUCUUGUCUUAAUAAUGUAUAAGAUUAAUAAAUAUAUAAACAGAUGAAUGAAACCACAAUAAUUUACCAGGUGAAUGGUAUACUGUUUCAUAUUUUCAAAAAACAUUUUAUUCUAAAGAGGUGGGAUCAUGACAUGUAAUAUUUCAGUUGAUGGCACUGUAAAUGCAUUAUGGAUUCGUCCCUUAAAUGACCACUGCUUCUAUUUGUAAUCAUACAUCUGCAGUAAGUGCCAUCCUAUCUGACUCAGAUCAAUAAAGACACAGUUGGCACACUGUU